rnacentral:rRNA from 1 species
UUACGCUGUUAUCCCUAAGGUAAUUUAUUUUUUUAAUCUAAAAUUUAAGAUUAAUAAUUCAUUAAUUUAUGUUUUUAUAAUAAAAAUUAAUUAAAUUUUAUAAUUACCCCAAUUAAAUUUUUAAAUAAAUAUUUAAAUUUAUUAAUAAAUUUUAAAAUAAUUAAAAAUAAAAUUCUAUAGGGUCUUCUCGUCUUUUAAUAAAAUUUAAGAAUUUUUACUUAAAUUUUAAUUUUAAUUAUUAAUUUUAUUUAUAUAGUAUAUAUUUCAUUCAAUCUUUCAUUCUAGUUGUCAAUUAAAAAACGAAUUAUUAUGCUACCUUUGUACAGUUAAAAAUACUGCAGCCAUAAAAAAUUUAUCAUCGGGCAGAUUAGACUGAGAAUUAUAAUCAAUAAGACAUGUUUUUGUUAAACAGGCG